CCUACGGGAGGCAGCAGUGGGGAAUAUUGGGCAAUGGGCGCAAGCCUGACCCAGCAACGCCGCGUGAAGGAAGAAGGCUUUCGGGUUGUAAACUUCUUUUGACAGGGAAGAGUAGAAGACGGUACCUGUCGAAUAAGCCACGGCUAACUACGUGCCAGCAGCCGCGGUAAUACGUAGGUGGCAAGCGUUGUCCGGAUUUACUGGGUGGAAAGGGCGUGUAGCCGGGUUGACAAGUCAGAUGUGAAAUCCUUCGGCUUAACCGCAGAACUGCAUUUGAAACUGUUGAUCUUGAGUACUGGAGAGGCAGACGGAAUGACUAGUGUAGCGGUGAAAUGCGUAGAUAUUAGGAGGAACACCAGUGGCGAAGGCGGUCUGCUGGACAGCAACUGACGGUGAGGCGCGAAAGCGUGGGGAGCAAACAGGAUUAGAUACCCGAGUAGGC
rnacentral:rRNA from 1 species